AUUGCAGUAGCUAACAUAUUCCUCACCUUAGGUAUGAAGCCUCGGCACCAGAAUCAAAAGCCAAUCUUGCCUCCAAGGAAAGGACUCUGAGAAGGCUUAACAAGACUAAGACCUGUCAACUAUUUAUUUUUCCUCAAGUCUAUAUACCACUUCAGGUUGUUCUGGAAUUUUUGAUGCACAUAUGUAAAAUUAAUAGAUGUAUUUCUGGAGUAUAGACUGUUAGAUAUUUCAAAUCUACUUAAGUCAUUUUUCCUGUAGUUUUUGUUUCAAACAUGUGUCUCAAACAUGGCCUUUGGGCAAUAGAGAAUCUUUAAUUUAAAAUAGUAUGGCAUGUGCCCGUUGCUCUACAUAGCUUAUGUAACUUUGGCAUUCAGUCUGAAGAGAAUGCCUCUCUCCUGUGGAUAGAAGACACCUGGUUAGGUACCAUUUGGUUAUGGGCAACCCAAGGAGAUGGAUUAAUGGACUAACAAAGUAGAACUAAACGCCAGCUAUCAUCUUUCCAGACCAUCCUUUUGCUGCCUAAUACAGCAAUGGCAGCAGUAUUGACAGAGGUCACCAAUGUGAGUAGCACUGUGGAAGCUAAAGUAGACUGUGAAGAGGAUAAUGUUAAUCAAACAGAUGCUGCAUUGCCAGAGGGCAGAGGCAUACAUGUCACCCUGGAGCCUCAUCUAUCUGGCAUUCUCUUGUUCUUCAUUCUUCUGUCUUCUCUGCUGCAGCUGUGGUUCAUACUGGGAGAGAAAUUAUGGCUUGUUUACAAACUAUCUAAGUGGAGAGACUCUUUACUCUGAGCAGUGACGCUGAUCCUUCAGGGGUAUACAGAUUUACCUAGCUAGCCUGUUAACCUAACCUCGAUGAAAACACAAAUACCCAGUGGCCAGCCAAUCAGAUCUCUGCCUAUCACAUCAAGAGCACUUUGUUUACAGUAUCUCCAGGGACUAGAAUAAGUCAUGUGGAUAAGCUGACCUCAUACCCUUUUAGGUUAGCAGGGACAUUCACAUACUAUUCAGUAAGGACAUAACAUGAGGCAGGUUGGUGCUAUUAAUUUUAUUCCUUCAAUGUUGUCUCUGUAAGACUUAGUUCUGAAAGUAUAAUUAUACUCCAAUUAUAUAUAGCAAUGAUUUUUAAAAUAUUUAUAAUGUCCUACAUUUUUAGUCUGAGCAAAGUUUUGCACUGAACAUAUUACAUAAAUGAUUCUACUUGGUAUAUUCUUUGCAAUGUCUCUGUGAAGUGUUCAAUUAGUAACCUUUCUGGAAUGAAUGGGCAAAGUGGUGAAUUAAAACAAUUCAAUAAUG